rnacentral:rRNA from 1 species
CCUUGUACACACCGCCCGUCACACCAUGGGAGUUGGUUUUACCCGAAGACGGUGCGCUAACCGCAAGAAAGCAGCCGGCCACGGUAUGGUCAGCGACUGGGGUG